UAAAAGUUUGGGGGGAAAUAAAAAGUUUUGGGGAAUAAAAGUUUGAGGGAAAGUAAAUAGGGGGAAGUAAAAUUUUAGAGGGAAAAUAUUAAAAAAAAUUAGAAGGGGGAGGGUUUGGGGUAGAUGAGAGGUGGGAUAGGAAGGGAAUAAAAGUUUUAGGGGGAAAAGUGGGAGAGAGUAAAAAUUUUGGGGGAAAAUAAAAUGUUUUGAGGGUUUUUGGGAGUAAAAUUUUGAGAAAAAGUAAUUGAGAGAGUAAAAUUUUGGUGGAAAAUGGAUUUUGGGUAGAUUGGGGGGUUGGGAGGGGAGGGGAGUAAAAGUUUGGGGGAAAAGUGGGAAGGAGUAAAAGUUUUGAGGGAAAAGUAAAAAGAUUUGGGAGUUUGGGGUAAAAAUGUAAAAUAUUAUAGUUUGAUAUUCGAAUUAUUCGAAUUAUUCGAGUUAUUCGAAUUCGAAAACUCAACUCGAUUCGAACUCGAAAUUUUAAAAAAAAAUCGAGUUGAUUCGAAUAACUCGAUUCGUUUAACUCAAAAUACGAAUUUUUUUUCGAUUUUUUCGAGUCGAA
rnacentral:lncRNA from 1 species